CCGCGCGUAGCUCAACUGGAUAGAGCACGGGGCUUCUACCCCCGGUGUUGCAGGUUCGAAUCCUGCCGCGCGGGCCA
rnacentral:tRNA from 1 species